GUGGUUACCAGGGAGAGCAGAAUCCUGGCGAGGUAAGACCAGGGCAGAACAUCCAGAGCUCCCCAGUCCCAUGGAAGGCCUUGCAUGGUGACUGUCAGAGGCUUUGGGGAGGAUGGUUUUCCUGCACCAGCAAUUACAACCCCAUCACCUUGCUGGCAAUGAAAGAACAUCCUGAGUCACUUCUGUGACACUUGUCCUUUUGGAAAGAUUUCAGUCAAACCAAUCAGAAGAGCAGAAUAGCCUCAAUUAGAAUUGUUUUUCAUUGCUUAUA